ACGGAAGGCAGCAGUGGGGAAUAUUGGACAAUGGGCGCAAGCCUGAUCCAGCAAUGCCGCGUGGGUGAAGAAGGUCUUCGGAUUGUAAAGCCCUUUCGACAGGGACGAUGAUGACGGUACCUGUAGAAGAAGCCCCGGCUAACUUCGUGCCAGCAGCCGCGGUAAUACGAAGGGGGCUAGCGUUGCUCGGAAUUACUGGGCGUAAAGGGCGCGUAGGCGGUCUGCCAAGUCAGGCGUGAAAUUCCUGGGCUUAACCUGGGGGCUGCGCUUGAGACUGGUGGGCUAGAGGACGGAAGAGGGUCGUGGAAUUCCCAGUGUAGAGGUGAAAUUCGUAGAUAUUGGGAAGAACACCGGUGGCGAAGGCGGCGACCUGGUCCGUUACUGACGCUGAGGCGCGACAGCGUGGGGAGCAAACAGGAUUAGAUACCCUGGUA
rnacentral:rRNA from 1 species